rnacentral:rRNA from 1 species
GUGUCAGCAGCCGCGGUAAUACAGAGGUCCCAAGCGUUGUUCGGAUUCACUGGGCGUAAAGGGUGCGUAGGUGGCCGGGUAAGUCCGAUGUGAAAUCUCCAAGCUUAACUUGGAAACUGCAUCGGAUACUAUCAGGCUAGAGGAUCGGAGGGGAGACUGGAAUACUUGGUGUAGCAGUGAAAUGCGUAGAUAUCAAGUGGAACACCAGUGGCGAAGGCGAGUCUCUGGACGAUUCCUGACACUGAGGCACGAAAGCCAGGGGAGCAAACGGGAUUAGAUACCCCAGUAGUCC